GAAAUGCGAUAAGGAAUGUGAAUUGCAGAAUUCAGUGAAUCAUCGAAUCUUUGAACGCACAUUGCGCCCCUUGGUAUUCCAUGGGGCAUGCCUGUUCGAGCGUCAUUUGUACCCUCAAGCUUUGCUUGGUGUUGGGCGUCUUGUCCUCUUCUGGAGUACUCGCCUCAAAACAAUUGGCAGCCGGCAUAUUGGUAUGGGAGCGCAUCACAAGUCGCACUUUGUUCCAUGAAUGUUGUCAUCCAUCAGGACCAUUUUUUCACUCUUGACCUCGGAUCAGGUAGGGAUACCCGCUGAACAUAA
rnacentral:misc_RNA from 1 species